rnacentral:rRNA from 1 species
GACGAACGCUGGCGGCGUGCUUAACACAUGCAAGUCGAACGGAAAGGCCCUGCUUUCAGGGUACUCGAGUGGCGAACGCGUGAGUAACACGUGGGUGAUCUGCCCUGCACUUCGGGAUAAGCCUGGGAAACUGGGUCUAAUACCGGAUAUGACCUUCCAUGUAGUGUGGGGGGUGGAAAGAUUUAUCGGUGUGGGAUGAGCCCGCGGCCUAUCAGCUUGUUGGUGGGGUAAUGGCCUACCAAGGCGUCGACGGGUAGCCGGCCUGAGAGGGUGGACGGCCACAUUGGGACUGAGAUACGGCCCAGACUCCUACGGGAGGCAGCAGUGGGGAAUAUUGCACAAUGGGCGGAAGCCUGAUGAAGCGACGCCGCGUGGGGGAUGACGGCCUUCGGGUUGUAAACCUCUUUCGACAGGGACGAAGCUUCGGUGACGGUACCUGUAUAAGAAGCACCGGCUAACUACGUG